rnacentral:sRNA from 1 species
ACCUUAAAACUGUCGUGUCAACGUGAGCACAUUGCAUGGCCCUCCCUUUUCACCCCACGAGUCUUUCUGUGUUUGGCCAAAUUUCCUUUCAUGACACUAAUCUAAGCCCAUUAAUUUGAGGAGCACUGGAAAGUUUUCCUUUGGCUUUUAUGGAACCAAGUAAAGAUAUCGUGGGCUUCUUCUCAGCUGGCAGCCUAAAUUCAUGGGAACUGGUACAAUCUUCCCCUUCCGGGUGGCAGCUGCCCUGGCUGCCUCUGGCUGACCUGUCCCCUCCUUCUGACAGCUGAUGCCUUUCAUCACCACCAUUCCAGGAGGGUUGUACCCAUCCAAGUCCAUCAUCCUGUCAGGCACUGUCCUGCCCAGUGCUCAGAGGUAAGCCAAGGGCUCCAGUGACCUCCGGGAAGAGAGAGCCCUUCAAGGUCAUUCCAACCAUUCCCCUGGCUUUUGGCAGGCUGGGGAUGAUGGGGAGGAAAUGGGGCUCAGAACUCAGUGGACAAAGGUCCAAGUAGGCUGCCCACCCCAGGUUCCACAUCAACCUGUGCUCUGGGAGCCACAUCGCCUUCCAC